rnacentral:rRNA from 1 species
GAUCCUGGCUCAGGAUGAACGCUGGCGGCGUGCUUAACACAUGCAAGUCGAACGGGAAACCUUUUAUUGAAGCUUCGGCAGAUUUAACUGGUUUCUAGUGGCGGACGGGUGAGUAACGCGUGGGUAACCUGCCUUGUACAGGGGGAUAACAGUCAGAAAUGACUGCUAAUACCGCAUAAGCGCACAGGACCGCAUGGUCCGGUGUGAAAAACUCCGGUGGUAUAAGAUGGACCCGCGUUGGAUUAGCUUGUUGG